AGCUUUGCGCAGUGGCAGUAUCGUAGCCAAUGAGGUUUAUCCGAGGCGCGAUUAUUGCUAAUUGAAAAUAAAAUGCAUGACAACACAAUGAUAGAAGAAAGAAAUGAAACAAUUCUAUUAUAAGAUUCUGUGCUAAUAAUUCCACUUA